rnacentral:rRNA from 1 species
UUUCGAAUUAUUCACAAUGGGCGAAAGCCUGAUGGUGCGACGCCGCGUGAGGGAUGAAGGUCUUCGGAUUGUAAACCUCUGUCACCGGGGAAGAAUGGCUAUGACCUAACACGUCAUGGAUUGACUUAACCCGGAGAGGAAGCAGUGGCUAACUCUGUGCCAGCAGCCGCGGUAAUACAGAGACUGCAAGCGUUAUUCGGAUUCACUGGGCGUAAAGGGUGCGCAGGCGGUUGCGUGUGUUGGAUGUGAAAGCCCGGGGCUCAACCCCGGAAUUGCGUCCAAAACUACGCGACUAGAGUACCGGAGAGGAUAGCGGAAUUCACGGUGUAGCAGUGAAAUGCGUAGAUAUCGUGAAGAACACCAGCGGCGAAGGCGGCUAUCUGGAAGGUAACUGACGCUC